AUGUGCACGCUCUGUUUACACAUCCACUCACACCUGUGCACCCUCUGUAGUUCUAUGGUCUGGGGGACCCUGUCUUCCUUCUGUGGUUCUACGUCUUUACACACACACUGUAAUAAAGUUUUAUGGAAUGUACAUCGCGUCUAACGCAAUACAAUACAACUUUCAGCAACGGAUCUCUUGGCUCUCGCAUCGAUGAAGAACGCAGCGAAAUGCGAUAAGUAAUGUGAAUUGCAGAAUUCAGUGAAUCAUCGAAUCUUUGAACGCACCUUGCGCCCCUUGGCUAUUCCGAGGGGCAUGCCUGUUUGAGUAUCAUGAACACCUCAACUCUCAUGGUUUGCCAUGAUGAGUUGGACUCUGGGGGUUUUGCUGGCCUGUGGUCGGCUCCUCUCAAAUUAAUCAGCCUCCCAGUGUUUGGUGGCAUCACGGGUGUGAUAAAUAUCUACGCUCGCUGUUGUCUGCCAGGUAACCUUUGGUCACAAAGGUUUGCUGGAGCUCACAGAUGUCUCUCCUCAGCGAGGACAGCUUUUUUAACGUUCGAUCUCAAAUCAGGUAGGACUACCCGCUGAACUUAA
rnacentral:misc_RNA from 1 species